UACGUAGGGGGCAAGCGUUGUCCGGAUUUAUUGGGCGUAAAGAGCGUGUAGGCGGCUUUGUAAGUUAGAGGUGAAAGCCCGGGGCUCAACCCCGGAAUUGCCUUUAAGACUGCAUCGCUUGAAUCCAGGAGAGGUGAGUGGAAUUCCGAGUGUAGAGGUGAAAUUCGUAGAUAUUCGGAAGAACACCAGUGGCGAAGGCGGCUCACUGGACUGGUAUUGACGCUGAGGUGCGAAAGCGUGGGGAGCAAACAGG
rnacentral:rRNA from 1 species